rnacentral:lncRNA from 1 species
GCAAAUUAAUGUGCCAUGCUGGCAAAUGAUGACGCGUAAAAAUGACAAUCAAUCUCGAUAUUCUUGGUUCGCUCAUGAAAAACAAAUUAUGGGCAAUCUGUAUAGCAACUUUUAUUGUCAUAAACAUAGGAGUGGGAGAAAAACAGAAACCACCCAUGUCAUCCAGUAACCACCGUCACCAAACUAUCUCUGUUGUAGUAGAGUCCAUAGCACGAUACUCAGCUUCUGUUGAAGAUUUUGAGACAACAGACGCUUCUUACUCUUCCAAGAAAUAGAGAAUCACCCCAAAAGAUACAGAAUCCAGUGGAGAUUUUGCGAUCAACAGGAUCACUAGCCCAAUCGCACAGAAUAUGCACGCAAUUGUAAAGAUGAGUGGAAGUAGUAAAAGAUUUUUGAAUGAGUACUACGUAUGUACCUUCAAAAUACGAAGGACGACAUCCCAAAUGAAUAGUAGUCGAAGAUGUAACAAACUGACUAACAAUAGAACAACAAUAUGCAAUGUUCCUGGGCGAGUAAUAGUGAGAUAGACCAAACUUCCAACAAUAGUAAUAUUAAAAAGGAUCGGAUAAAGAGUACUAUCAGUCGGAGAAUACCGAACAUUAAGUUCAAGAGGAGUCUGGACAGUCUUACUAUCAGUAAGACGAGCACUCUCAAGAAUUCUGCAAUAUACUUAGACUGGGAAGUAGAUAACCUUCAGGUGAAAAGGCUCUUCUAUGUCCUCAAAAAAUAACGUAGAGGUCCCAAAUCCUUCAUUUCAAAUCGAAUCCAGUCUAUUUCAAUUGGUUAUUCCAGCUCACAUCAUCACCUUAAUCAUCCUACAUUGCAUUCGCAACCCACCUGUUUGAGUAAAAGUAAUUGUGUCAAUAUUUGGGUAGAACUUACCCCAAAAACGAGCUAUGAAGAAAGGUGCCCUUACAACUUUAUAUUGCAUAUUAUUUCAACUCUCAAGCGAUAUAAGACUUCGCUUCACAACCCUCCUCACGCCCAACGUGCUCACUCGGCAGACACAUGCCACGUGCAAGCCAGGGAACGCACCCUACCCAUCGUGGGAGCCCGCCUCUGAUACCAUGUGAGAAUACAAGACAUAGAGAAAAAGGCGGUUAGGUGUUUCAUAGAUUUAUUUUUUUUUUUUUUUUUUUUUUUUUUUUCUUUUUUUUUUUUUUUUUUUUUUUUUUUUUUUUUUUUUUUUUUUUUUUUUUUUUUUUUUCUUUUUUUUUUUUGUUUUUUUUGAAUAAUGAUACAAGAAGAUAAAAGAGUUUAAAUAAACCCUAAUAACAAAGGUAAUAAAUUACUAGUUCUACUUACUUCUAAUAACAAAAUAAAUAAACAUAAAUCUAAUCUAACAUUUUUAAAGAAAUUAUUUUUUAAUCAAUAAGCAUUUUAAUUAACAUAAAAAGGAAACAUUAUAUUAAAAAAAAUAUGAUAGUAAGGACAAUCCAACAACGGUAAAGAGACAAUCCAUUAGCUAUUUUUUUGAGUUAAUUACGUUUUAUUUUGACUGAUUACGAAUUGAAAGACCCUUCUAUGUUACAAAAUAAGACUGGAUAAUUACAGAAUUAAAGCGAAAACAUAUUGCAUAAACAAACAAAACAAAUUAUGAAAAACCCCCCCCCCCCCCAAAAAAAAAAAAAAAAAAAAUAACAAAAAAAAAAAAAAAAAAAAAAACCCCAACAAAAAAAAAACAAAAAAAAAAAAAAAAAAAAAAACAAAAAAAAAAAAAAAAAAAAAACAAAACAACAAAUUAGGAAAAAGUAAAACAAAGUUACGGAAGAUGAAAAUCUGAAAAAAUACUACACGAUCUCAAGAUAAAACGGUAACCUAAACAAAAAUAAUGUUAAUUAUGUAUAGAUGUUGAGUCCAUCCAAUCUGGAGAGUCAAGCCCAAGCCCGGUAGGAGUUCAUUGAGUGUCUACUGUGCGGUGAAAACUCUCGAGUAUCUAGAACUCUUGGAGAGUCGUAUCUUUUAUUUUUCUAGAUAGAUUAGGAAAGUGAUUAGGUAUUCUGGUAGGAGUCCCCACAUCCUUCCCUUGGUUAAAAAGGGAUGGUAGGGUGCUUAGAUUUUUACUACGUGUGUUUGCUGUGGCUGAGAGCAGGAUUGCCCUGGAGGUGAGAUGAGAGGCAAGACAGAGAGAGAUUGUGAGAGAGGGUGUGAGUUGAGCCCGAUCGAGUAUCCUCCUUUUAAUACAUUCAUUCGAUAGUGGAUUGGUGAAUUUCUCUCCGGGAAUGUAGGCAUUGUUGGCCGAACUACGUAAAUUGUUAUUUGUCUUUGUGUGUGUGUGUGAUCCAUAAUUAGUUUUGAGCACAACAAUUUUAAUUAUGUAUUAGACUUCUUCGGUAAUUAUUUAGUAUUGUGGGAGUAUUAAUAUGGAUUAAGAAGGAAGAUAGAGGCGCGGCACAAAUCAUGAAUGGGAUGAGGAAAAGGGAAGACUCACAAUUUUUAAAGGCUCAAUUUUACAAACACGGUCUAAACUAGCGCAUGUUAUCACUUUUACUCCUUCAUUUAAAAAUUGAAUCAUAUUGAUUUUAUUAAUUAUUUAAUUAUAACAUUUACACACCUCUCAAUACUAUUGUUAAAAAGUAUGAAAAUCGAUUGUGUGUUAUCCCCAGUUUUUAUUUAAAUUUAAUGUUAUUAUAUCUAAAUAUUCUUAUUUUAAAAAAAAUUAAGUCAACGCUCUAUUUAAAGACUUAUUAAUAAGAAUUAAGUUUGUUCUCAUAAUGGCUGAAUAAGUAUAUGGAGUAUUGACUUAUUUUUUAUAAAAAAAUAAUGUAUUUUAGACAUAAGUGCAUUUAAUUUAAGUAUAUGGACAACUCGUGAUUGAUUUUCAUCACUAUUUCAAACAGAUUAGUAAUGAAAGGGUGUAAGUGAUACAAUUAAAUAGUUAAAUUGGGUCAAUAUGAUUCACUUUUUAAAUGAAUGGAUAAAAUUAAAAACUUGAGCUAGUUUAGAGGGUGUGUGUAAAAUUAAGCCAUUUUUAAAAGGUUCAACUGUUCUAUAUAAUAUGAAUGAAUUUGUGGUCAAAAAUAAUGAGUGGAAGACCGAGUGUUCUUAGAAGAGAGUUUGGAGGAGAUAUUGAGUUAGAAAUUAUACUCUUAUGUAAUGUUGAUUUUACUACUACAUUGAUAUGCUAAAAGUUAUUAUUUUUAUUAUGUGUUUUUAUAACAAAUUAAAAUACUAAAAAAUUUUAAGUGUUUAAAAAUUUAAUAAAUUAAAAUUAUGAUAUGGUUCACAAAAUUUUAUAUAAACAAAGUAUUAAUGUGAAAGUAAAAAAAAAUACAAAAUUUUGAUCAUUUUUUUUUAUAAAUUAUAAAAAAUUAACAAAAGAUUAAAAACAUACUCUUCUAAAAAUAUUUAUCAAAAAAUAAAAUAAAACCGAUAAAAAAAUAAAUAAAUUUAAUUAAAAAAAAUUAAAAAAAAAGUUUUAAUUUUUACACUCAUUUUUUUGUCAUUCUCUUUUAUAUUGACUUUUGAUGAUAUUUUUAUAAUUUUACUUAAUAGAAAUAAAAUUUAGAGUGUAGAAAAAAUCAAACCCCUUCCAAAUAUUCAUAAAACAAAAUACGUCAGCAGCACGUUUUUGAUUGUCACGAAAUAAGUACACACACCGUGUCAGCAGCACAGUUCGAUUUGAUUGUCAAUUUCCUCAUCCUUUUAAUAAUGUAACGUUAUGUCCCACACCCCCACCUAACCCCCACCCCCUUGCACACCGCAAAAUGCACACUAAUAAGGCGCAGUGCAUUCCAGAAAUGUUGGUCGCUUCUGCAGAAAGGACUAGGUGGACCCUCCUACACCCCCACGCGACCCCUUGGCCCUCUAACCCAAAUGCACUACAUUAUCAGGUGUGCAUUUUUGAGGUGACAAAUUAGGUAGUAUCCAGAACAUUUCUCUUAAUAAUAAAGAAUGAGGCGGGCUCAAUCUUUGUCUUGCUUGUCUGUCAGAAAAUUUUGAGACUUUGUGGAAGCUAAAAUAUGUUUCAAUAUAUAUAUAGAUAUAUAUAUAUAUAAAUAUAUAUAUAUAUAUAUAUAAUUUUAUAAAAAAAAAUAACUCAGUUAUUACUUUAGAGAUAUCAAAAGGUGUUUCAACUAUCAAAAUAAUUUACACUAAAAAAAUGAGUCCGAUAUCAAAAUUAUAAUAUUCUUGUUUUUAAAUACAAUUUUAGAAAAAGUUAAAAAUUUUAAAUUUGAAAAGUGUAAUCAAACAGGACAAAACAUAAAAAGUUAAAAAAAAAUUAUCAAAAAUAAAUAAAUUUACAUAUAAGAGCAUUCACAUUAACCUCACUAAACUUGAGCUAAAUUAUAACUCAAAAAUCACAAACUUUAUUUUACCUAGUCACUUUUUAAACACUAGCUCUGUUAGCAUCUCUAUUCUAAUUCUAUUUUGUAAUGACUCAGAUUUAAUUUUUAAUAUAUUAUCAAGCGUUUAUAAAUAUUUGUUAUGUUUAAUGACGUGACUAUGUGAGUGAUGGGAUGAGUAUUGUUGGGACUUUAGAUGACAAUGGGUUUAAAAUGCAAGAAGUAUAACUUUUGGGACGAAAUGAAAAGUGACAUCUAAGUUGAUGAGAGAUAAUAUAAUAACAUAAAAGUUAGAGGGGCUGAAAUAUAAUUUUGUUAAUCUUUUGAAGUGAGUGUCAGAUUUAUCCGUGUGUUGGACUGUGGAGGAGGGGACCGCGGGACAGCUAGCACCCUAGCACCCUGUUUAGAAUUUCCUCUCCAGUUCCUUCCUUCUUCUUCUUGAGAUCCUAUUAAUCUUCCAGGGAGAGAGAGAGAGAAUUGAGAUAAAUGAGGCGAAAAUGAAGAGGUUUGGAAAAUUCAGAAGAAAAAAUCUGGUGAGUUUAAGAUUCAUUAUUUUUGAUUUUGAAUUAAGCUUCGAUUUUUUUUUGAAUUCAUUGCUAUUUUUGUGUUGAUAUGAACUGGUUAUAUAUGGAAAUUAAAUUAUGUGAAUCAUAUGAUAUAUGUAUAUGGGUGUAACUAGAGGGAUUUUGUGAAUGAUGGGUUAUGGAAAAAGAA